rnacentral:rRNA from 1 species
AGCGAACGCUGGCGGCAGGCCUAACACAUGCAAGUCGAGCGCCCAGCAAUGGGAGCGGCAGACGGGAGAGUAACACGUGGGAACGUGCCUUUUGGUUCGGAAUAACUCAGGGAAACUUGAGCUAAUACCGGAUAAGCCCUUACGGAAAGAUUAUUGCCAAAGAAGCGGCCCGCCGUCCGAUUAGCUAGUUGGUGAGGUAAUGGCUCACCAAGGCGACGAUCGGUAGCUGGUCUGAGAGGAUGACCAGCCUCAUUGGGA